rnacentral:rRNA from 1 species
GUGGGGAAUCUUCCGCAAUGGACGAAAGUCUGACGGAGCGACGCCGCGUGAGUGAAGAAGGCCUUCGGGUCGUAAAGCUCUGUCAUCAGGGACGAAUGGCCGGUGGAGUGGAAAGCCACCGGAUUGACGGUACCUGAGAAGGAAGCCACGGCUAACUACGUGCCAGCAGCCGCGGUAAUACGUAGGUGGCAAGCGUUGUCCGGAAUUAUUGGGCGUAAAGCGCGCGCAGGUGGGAUCUUAAGUCCAUUUUGAAAGUUCGGAGCUCAACUCCGUGAUGGGAUUGAAACUGGGAUUCUUGAGUACCGGAGAGGAAAGCGGAAUUCCCCGUGUAGCGGUGAAAUGCGUAGAGAUGGGGAGGAACACCAGUGGCGAAGGCGGCUUUCUGGACGGUGUCUGACACUGAGGCGCGAAAGCCAGGGGAGCGAACGGGAUUAGAUACCCGAGUAGUCC